GAUAUUUUUCUCGGGAAGCCUUGCUGGAAGCGAGAAACGCGGAAGGCGUGAAAAUGGAGCACGGGAUUAACGUGACUCCAUGAGGCGGUCUGAGAAUUCCGCCUGGUAUUAGGGCAUAGCUUUGUGGAUAACGUUUUUUGGGGAAAUACUUAAGCAAAAAGGAUCUCUCUCUCUCUCUCAUAUAUUGUCAUUCAACCUUGACAGCAGAGAAAGGUUUUGGGCUCGACAUCUUCUUGUCUUUUGGCUGAGAUUUUCUUGAUAUUGCUGGAGAACCUCCAUCGCUGGUCUUCCUUAAAGGAAAUAAGGGUUUCAGCAAAGACGAUUUGGAAAAAGAUUUCUUCUAGAAAUCAGCUCAAGACACCACUAUUCAGCCACAUCCAAAGAAAUAUUCACCCUAACAUUUGCAUGGAAGCAGACAAGGAUUACAAGGAGAAGUGUGGUUGUGUUGAUUCUCUGCUGACUUUGUCUACCCAACAAACAUUAAAAUAAUUUGUAGCAUUAUGAAGAAAUAUUAGGUUGUGCCUCAUAAAUUCAUUUCAAUGUAUCUGUGUAUGAAAAUAGUUUUGUGUUGCUACUGAAUAAAAAAUUCUGGCUUAGAAUAGGACU